GAUGAACGCUGGCGGCGUGCCUAAUACAUGCAAGUCGAGCGAACGGACGAGAAGCUUGCUUCUCUGAUGUUAGCGGCGGACGGGUGAGUAACACGUGGAUAACCUACCUAUAAGACUGGGAUAACUUCGGGAAACCGUAGCUAAUACCGGAUAAUAUUUUGAACCGCAUGGUUCAAAAGUGAAAGACGGUCUUGCUGUCACUUAUAGAUGGAUCCGCGCUGCAUUAGCUAGUUGGUAAGGUAACGGCUUACCAAGGCAACGAUGCAUAGCCGACCUGAGAGGGUGAUCGGCCACACUGGAACUGAGACACGGUCCAGACUCCUACGGGAGGCAGCAGUAGGGAUCUUCCGCAAUGGGCGAAAGCCUGACGGAGCAACGCCGCGUGAGUGAUGAAGGUCUUCGGAUCGUAAAACUCUGUUAUUAGGGAAGAACAUAUGUGUAAGUAACUGUGCACAUCUUGACGGUACCUAAUCAGAAAGCCACGGCUAACUACGUG
rnacentral:rRNA from 1 species